AUAUGAUCAAUUUGUAGGAGAUUAAUUUACAUUUACAUUCAGGCAACAUAUGGUUGCUCUUGAGAUGUUAUUCGUCACAAAAUAUUGUUAUCAGAUUUAUGCAAUUUUAAUAAUAUAUUAUUGACGAGUGAACGCCGGAUAAAAACCUUGUCUACGUCCGGGUUUACAUGUAGUAUACACAAAUACACGUAACGUGUGACGAUGUAUGUGCGGGCAAUGUAUCUAUGUGUAGCAGCAAUAUUAUGCAGCUGUAUUGAUAUAACUAUUGGAUCAUGCACUCCACCUACCUCUUUCUGUGGUAAUAAUGAGCUCGAAUUGAGUGGCUAUAGUGACUGCAAUGACAAAGUUGACAAGGAUGACACUGCACACCAGCCUGUAGUAUCUUUCGAACAUGCAGAUUCGGU
rnacentral:lncRNA from 1 species